rnacentral:rRNA from 1 species
CAGCCGCCACGGUAAUACGGAGGGUGCAAGCGUUAAUCGGAAUUACUGGGCGUAAAGCGCACACAGGCGGUCUAUCAAGUCAGAUGUGAAAUCCCCGGGCUUAACCUGGGAACUGCAUUUGAAACUGGCAGGCUAGAGUCUUGUAGAGGGGGGUAGAAUUCCGCGUGUAGCAGUGAAAUGCGUAGAUAUGCGGAGGAACACCGGUGGCGAAGGCGGCCCCCUGGACAAAGACUGACGCUCAGGUGGGAAAGCGUGGGGAGCAAACAGGAUUAGAUACCCGCGUAGUCCCUGUCUCUUAUAC